rnacentral:rRNA from 1 species
GUCCUACGGGGGGCAGCAGUGGGGAAUAUUGCACAAUGGGGGAAACCCUGAUGCAGCGACGCCGCGUGAGUGAAGAAGUAUUUCGGUAUGUAAAGCUCUAUCAGCAGGGAAGAAAAUGACGGUACCUGACUAAGAAGCCCCGGCUAACUACGUGCCAGCAGCCGCGGUAAUACGUAGGGGGCAAGCGUUAUCCGGAUUUACUGGGUGUAAAGGGAGCGUAGACGGCAUAGCAAGUCUGAUGUGAAAGAUCGGGGCUCAACCCCGGGCCUGCAUUGGAAACUGUUAAGCUGGAGUACAGGAGAGGU